UUGGGUGAUUAUAGCGAUAGGGCUCACCUCUUCCCAUUCCGAACAGAGAAGUUAAGCCUAUCAGCGCCGAUGGUACUGCGUUAGCGGGAGAGUAGGUCGUCGCCACUUU
rnacentral:rRNA from 1 species